GACGAACGCUGGCGGCGUGCUUAACACAUGCAAGUCGAACGAAGAGCGAUGGAAGCUUGCUUCUAUCAAUCUUAGUGGCGAACGGGUGAGUAACGCGUAAUCAACCUGCCCUUCAGAGGGGGACAACAGUUGGAAACGACUGCCAAUACCGCAUACGAUCCAAUCUCGGCAUCGGGACUGGAUGAAAGGUGGCCUCUAUUUAUAAGCUAUCACUGAAGGAGGGGAUUGCGUCUGAUUAGCUAGUUGGAGGGGUAACGGCCCACCAAGGCGAUGAUCAGUAGCCGGUCUGAGAGGAUGAACGGCCACAUUGGGACUGAGACACGGCCCAGACUCCUACGGGAGGCAGCAGUGGGGAAUCUUCCGCAAUGGACGAAAGUCUGACGGAGCAACGCCGCGUGAGUGAUGACGGCCUUCGGGUUGUAAAGCUCUGUUAAUCGGGACGAAUGGUUCUUGUGCGAAUAGUGCGAGGAUUUGACGGUACCGGAAUAGAAAGCCACGGCUAACUACGUG
rnacentral:rRNA from 1 species